UACGGAGGGUGCGAGCGUUAUCCGGAAUUACUGGGUUUAAAGGGUGCGUAGGCGGCUUUGUAAGUCAGGAGUGAAAGUUUGCGGCUCAACCGUAAAAUUGCUUCUGAUACUGCACGGCUAGAAUUAGGAUGAGGUCAGCGGAAUGUGGCAUGUAGCGGUGAAAUGCAUAGAUAUGCCAUAGAACACCAAUUGCGAAGGCAGCUGACUAGACCUGGAUUGACGCUGAGGCACGAAAGCGUGGGGAGCGAACAGG
rnacentral:rRNA from 1 species